AUACAUUAAAAUACGCAACCAACCGUCAUUGAACCGUCCAAUCAGAUCAAAGGAGUAAUCGUUGUAGAUCGUGCGUUAUCGAUGAUGUUCGGUACCUGGAGAAAAUUGACAAUUGACAAGAGAAUUAAUUGUUUAUUAUUUUUGACUUUUUAGUUCGUUUAAUUUAAUAAUUACUAAAACCAGUAGUUCGAAAGAUAUAUUUAAAAAUAAAAGAUAAAAAUCCAAAAAAUUAAUUAUCUAUUAACGUGGAUUUGGACGACAAUAGGUUUUUAGUUUGUGAUGUUUCAUGUGAUGAUCAUUUUCAUGUUCAUCGUCUUUGAAUUGACAUGAGGAUAUCUAUGGAAAAGUAACUAAUCUGAAAGUAAGCCAACAUAUCGUUUGUCCUUUGUGUGCUAAAGAAAAGAUUUUCUUUUCGCAUCGUGAGGAAGUAUUACAUCAAUUAAAAAAUGUUAGGAAGUUGAUUACUUGUCAUGGAAAAGUAUACCAAUGGAAAUUAUUUGUUAAAGAAGUAUAAUUCUAAGGGUUUUAAGAAUAAAUUGGUUGAACCCAAAAUCUGGAGGAAGUACCUAUAUCCAUACACAGAAUAUGCCCAUUAAGAAUACUAGUCCAAAUUUGCUUUAAUGGAACGAUUAGGGCCCGAUAUAUUUGAAACUCAUGUUGGACAUAGUAUUGAGUUGGGUAGAAUAUUAUUCUACGUUAAGUGAGGAUAUCAGAUACCUAUUAUUGUACUGUAUUUUAAUAUAUACAUUAGAAUUGUUGGUUUUUU
rnacentral:lncRNA from 1 species